AGUGAACGCUGGCGGUAGGCUUAGCACAUGCAAGUCGAACGGCAACACAGUAAGAGCUUGCUCUUACGGGUGGCGAGUGGCGGACGGAUGAGGAAGACAGCGGAAUCUACUUUUUCGGGGGGGAUAACGCAGGUAAACUUACGCUAAUACCGCAUACGACCUACGAGUGAAAGCAUCGGAUCUUCGGACCUUGCGCGAUCGAAUGAGCCGAUGACGGAUUAGCUAGUUGGCGGGGUAAAGGCCCACCAAGGCGACGAUCCGUAGCUGGUCUGAGAGGAUGAUCAGCCACACGGGAACUGAGACACGGUCCAGACUCCUACGGGAGGCAGCGGCGGGGAAUAUAGGAGAAUGGGCGCAAGCGUGAACCAGCCAUACCGCGUGGGUGAAGAAGGCCUUCGGGUUGUAAAGCCCUUUUGUUGGGAAAGAACAGAAGCAGGUUAAUACCCCGCUGUUCUGCCGGUACCCAAAGAGUACACACCGGCUAACUUCGU
rnacentral:rRNA from 1 species